UCAGGCGGCAACUUAAAAUAAGGUAUCGCCAAAUGAUUUAACAUUUUUUGACUUAACAUUUUUCAACCCGUGUACCCAUUUCCCCUAUACCCAUUUCCUCAAUCAUUCUUCGGUCUUCCCCUUCCUGGUCUCUCGGUCCCUUAAUCUUCAAUCGUUCAUCGUCUUUCCGUUCCUGGUCCGUUCGUGGUCUAUCUCUUUCGGUUUCCCGUAGACCUAUCCCUCUCGGUCGGGAAAUGAGAAAAUAAGCAUAAAUUUUUAAUAUUUCACUAACUCUCUAUUCCCCAAUUUCUAUUUCUAUCAUUUACCACACAAAGACAACCCUAAUCAUUCUCUCUUCUGUCUUUUCCCCAUGGAUGGCUUGUUCUAUCCUCUGUAUCGUUUCCCACUGAUGGUACACAGAUAGUCAUAGCCAUUCUUCUUUUCUUUCACUAAAUUUUUUUUGCUCCAGUGCCUCCUCUUAGCCAUGGCUAGGGCUACCAUAAUGUUUAUUUCUUCAUAAUGGAGAGGGGUUAGUCCUCUUCAAAAUCUCUGUUCCAGAAGUUUCUUCAUCGCCAGCAAAGAUUUUAAGGGUGGUGAUUUAUGGCUUGUUUGGAUAUUCAGAUGGAUGUAAAGAAUCAAUAUUAUGCAACUAUAUGGGUGCUCAAGAUAUGCAUUUUCGAGAAAAUGAGUGUGUGAACAUGCUUAUUCUUUGGCUCAAAAUAUGGAUCCUGACAGUGAAGGAAGAGGAGUUCUACAAUUUAAAACUGGAUUGAUGUCUUUCAUUAAG